CCAGCUCUCCGAGUGGUAGGGACGAUUAUUGGGCUUAAAGCGUCCGUAGCCGGCUUAGCAAGUCUCCUGUUAAAUUCAGCGACCUAAUCGUUGAAUCGCGGGAGAUACUACUAGGCUAGGAGGCGGGAGAGGUCGACGGUACUUCUGGGGUAGGGGUGAAAUCCUAUAAUCCCAGGAGGACCACCAGUGGCGAAGG
rnacentral:rRNA from 1 species